AUACUAUAUUUAAAUAUUAUAUAAUAUGAUCUGCUUUUACCGUUCAAAUAUUUAUUUUGAACUGCCAGAUCUGCUUGAACCGCACAUGUACCGCUAGAUCCGCUUUUGUCCAGCUUGAUCCACUUGAUCCGCUUAAUCCGCUCCGCCCGAUACGCUUUCUCCAUUCGGAGCCAUAUCUAGUGUCUUCACAGUUUUUUUUAGCCAAUUAGACGUUUUUACUUUAAUUAUUUUUAUAGUUUUUAACGCCCUUCUUUUUUCUUUUUCUUUGUUUCUCUUCUUUUUUAAAAGCCUUUCAAACAAAUAUUUAUUAAAAGAUUUUUUCUAUCUUCUCCCUAAAUAACUAAAUACUUUAUACAAUUUUACAUAUAUUUUUCAUAAACUAUUUUUAAUAGAUU
rnacentral:sRNA from 1 species